rnacentral:misc_RNA from 1 species
GUGGGAGGGGGCUUGCUCCCGAUAGCGGUGUAUCAGCAGAUUAUUUCUAGCUGACACACCGCAAUCGGGAGCAAGCCCCCUCCCAC